CCACAGCUACAACCGCUCGUUCAUGAGUACAAGUGCUUUGAGCCACUUAUGACGGCGAGUCUGAGUAGGGCA
rfam:Alloiococcus otitis ATCC 51267 genomic scaffold supercont1.1, whole genome shotgun sequence.